GUAAUGUUCACCUGUGCAUCUUGUUAAAAAUGCAGAUUCUGAUUCAGUUUUCUUGGUUGGACCUGAGAGUCUGCAUUUCUAACAAGCUCUCAGGUGAUGGUAAU
rnacentral:pre_miRNA from 1 species